UUGAACGACUGGUUGAACGUUUG
rnacentral:siRNA from 1 species